rnacentral:tRNA from 1 species
ACUAUUUUGGCAGAUAAGUGCAUUAGAUUUAGGUUCUAUAAAUAUUGAUUUUCAAUAAAUUAGUA